GGCCCUUAAGAGUAGGGCUNACACGUGCUACAAUGGCAUAUACAAAGAGAAGCGACCUCGCGAGAGCAAGCGGACCUCAUAAAGUAUGUCGUAGUCCGGAUUGGAGUCUGCAACUCGACUCCAUGAAGUCGGAAUCGCUAGUAAUCGUGGAUCAGAAUGCCACGGUGAAUACGUUCCCGGGCCUUGUACACACCGCCCGUCACACCAUGGGAGUGGGUUGCAAAAGAAGUAGGUAGCUUAACCUUCGGGAGGGCGCUUACCACUUUGUGAUUCAUGACUGGGGUGAAGUCGUAACAAGGUAACCGUAGGGGAACCUGCGGUCGAUUCACCUCC
rnacentral:rRNA from 1 species